AGCACCCCCAGCACCCCCACUUCCCGCGGCCAUGUCUGUUGGUCAGGUUUUAUGUUCCAGUUAAAAAGUUUGACAUGAGACUGUUCUCCCGUGAUAUGAGUGUGAACAUGAAGACACGCAUGACAAGAGAAUAGAUGUCGAGCCUUUGUCAGCUGAAGGACCUGUUACAUUGCCUAGUUACCAGUUGACCAUAUGCAUGGUAAUUCCGCAUAAAGAUAAGCCAAUACUCGUAAACUUCCGGUAAAGCUGAUUUAAUGUUGUGGUUUAUACAGGUACAGAAACAUCUCCUGCCUAAUUCUUGUCAGAAAAAAAA